CCAUUGAGCGAAGUAGCGGACUCUGAUUCUUGUGGGAAUUCCUCAGCGAUUAUACUACUGUCACGAACCGCUAUUACUCGUUUGAGUUGAAACCUUCUUUCAACAGAUGUAGCAUUCCAUUUUUUAAGCUGAGAUUUCUCAAGUAAAAGUUUUACCAAUAAAUAAAUACCAUCAAAAGAAUUAUAUGCCCGUAAUAAAAAUCUUGGAUAUCGAUGUGUGAAAUACUGAAAGAGAUUAAUUUAUCAUCAUUUAUUUAUUUUACUUACUGCUAGUAUAAACCUUAAUGAAGGUGAUAUAAGUUUUUCCACCUGUUGAACUUGUAAAACUUCCAAUAAUGAAGGCGAAUCCAUUGACUGAAUAGCUCCUUAGACAAGUGCGUUGAAG